UUCACUAUCAAAUGUGGUAAACCAUCAGCACCACACAACAAACCUUGCUUUCCAUAGUUAUCAAACCUUCUCUUGGUUUUCUCAACUGUUGCUUUUAUGGCCAGCGCUGGAGCGCUGUCCGGAGCGUAAAGCUUGAGUGAUGAUUCAAGCUUUUUGAUUGAUUGUUUCUCACGUUUGGCGAAUUGUUUUGAUUCUCUGCAUGGUGUUAGGCCGGAGAUGUCGGCGACAGCGGGGAGUGGUGAUGAGAUGAGGAUUGAUGAGAGUGCUAGUGCUGCUGAGAAUGCUUUUAGAUUUGAGUUUACAUCGUUGGUUGGUUUUUCUUGGUUUGUGCUGCAGUGGAUGAUGUUGGUUGAGAGUUUUGGUUUUUGAGGUAAUUUUGGUCUUAGGGUUGAGGUGGGUUUGGAGAGGUUAGUUGGAAUUGUUAGAGACAUUUUUGUGUGGAAGAAGAAGAGAAGAGGGAGUGAAGGGUGUUGGAUUUGAUUUGUGUGUUGUUAUGGGAAAGAGAAGAAGAGAAGGUUUUUAGAUUCUGUGUGGAGAAGAAUUGGUGGUGGGAAAGUGGAUUUUGGAUAAGGUGUGAGAAGUAAGGUUGCUGAGUUGGAUUGUUUUUAUUGGUUGUGGGUUUAGGACAUUUUGUGUUUUGUUAUCUCACUUGGGUUGGAUAAGAAUUUGAGAAAUUGUGUCCCUCACACGCUCUUGGAGAUUUCAAGUAGUAUGGUUGGAUUGAAAUCAUACGGUGUUACUUUUAAUAUUUAUUUAUUAAACUUAAAAUUGAACUUGCUUGAGCAUGAUCAAAUAGUUUAAAAUGUACCAAUAAAGCAUUGGUUUACACCUUAAACAUGUGGUUAUGUAUUUGACUUAUGUUCCAUGGAAAAAUUUGGUUGGGCAGGAAAAACAUAUAUUGUGUACUUCACAUGUUUACCGAUAAAGAUUAAUUAAUAAUAAAUGGUGGUGAAAAUUUUGUACAAAUGUCAUAACAAUAAAAAAAAAGAAGUAAUUGUGUGACAUUUAUUUUAUGCAUUAUUUUAUACAUCAAACAGUGCUAUAUCAUUUAAAAAUUGAAAUCAAAAGUAGUUUAUAAAUAACACUUACACAUUUUUACGAAUCGAGGUGUCUUUUACAAUUGAUAACACUAUAAAAACUUAUGCAAAAAAAUUUCAAAAUGGAUAACAUUUUAGAAAUGUGGCUAAGGUCGGAACAAUGAAUCACUCCUUUUUGUGGUGGUCGGGGUUUAAAUCCCCCAUACUUUACAUAUAUUAUGUAUUUUUCAUAUCAACCGAGUUAAGCUCACGAGGAUAAUGAAUUUCUCAUUUGCUUUACUAGAGAAAAAGUUAAGCAUAGUUUAUAUAAACAACACUCAUAUUUAUAUCGGUCAAUCAAGACACUUUUACAUUACAUAACCUAAAAAAUGUUGCUUGACGUGGGAACAAAAUGUAUGAUCGCAAAUAAUCUUUUAGUUGCCGACAGCAGAAUGAAACCCAUGUACAUGUGCUUCAACGUGCAACUCAUGUAUUAGAAGAAGCCCAAGGUAUAAGUUCUCGCAACAACAACCAAAAUCCCACACCACAGAUGCACACCACAAGACUAGAAGAAGAUCGUUGGAAGAAGCCGGCAUCUGGCAGGUAUAAAUGCAACAUUGAUGCAUCAUUUUCCACUUCUCUUAACAGGGUUGGACUCGGUAUGUGUCUUAGGGAUGAUGAUGGUGCGUUUGUUCUUGCAAGAACAUGAUGGUUUUCCCCUCUUUGUGAUGUAGAUGUGGGAGAGGCGGUUGGAUAGUAUACAACCUUGGAUUGGAUCUCUAAUCAACAAUUUGAUAAUGUCGAUUUUGUACUUGAUUGUAAAAUAAUUGUUGAUUGUGUCAAUUCUAGUUUAGAUGAUAGCAGUGAUUUUGGAUGUAUUAUUGCUGCUUGUAAACAACUGCUAGAGAAUAGAUUCCAGAACUCUCAUGUUGAGUUCAACAUGAGGCAAGUAAAUAGGGUAGCCCAUGAGCUAGCUCAGGUAGCCCUGUCUAAUCCUAGCCCCCAUAUUAUUGAUGAUAUACCUACAUGUAUUUGACAUAUUUUAGCUAAUGAAAUACAAUAACUUCUUCCUUCAAAAAAAUAAUCUUUUAGUUGCCGAUUGAACACUAAAAUCAGAUGUUUUAGGCACCAAUCACCAAAUAGAUAUUCAAGGUCCAACUCAUUUUACAUUCAUAUUGCCCUUCUAAAACUCAAUCAACAAUAUUUUUUUUUAAAAAGUUUAUAUUAAUGGUAUGAUAUGCAUUUGACAUGGGAAAAUCUUUUGAUUUGCUUAUCAUGGUGGAAUUUUUUUUAUCCGACCCUAUUGUCAAAAAAAUGAAACCUUUGAUCCCCGGUAUUUUGGAAUCAGCGCAACAUUUGUUUCUCUCUUAUUCGUACUUUGCUUUACUUUGGUCGUUGGUUCGUGAUUGGAUUGGUUUUGUUGGAGUGGACACUAAUGUUUUAUCUGAUCACUUUGUUCAGUUUGUUCACUCAACAGGUGGAAGUAAGGCUUCUCAGUCUUUUCUCCAGCUUAUAUUUGGCUUCUCUGUGUCUGGGUCUUAUGGACUGGACGUAACAAAUAUGUGUUUCAAUGAUUCUAUUACUCCUUUACCCAGGUUGCUUGAUAAAGUAAAAUAUUUGUCUUUAGGUUGGUUGAAAG
rnacentral:lncRNA from 1 species